rnacentral:rRNA from 1 species
AACGUGAGGGGCGAACGUUGUCCGGAAUCACUGGGCGUAAAGGGUACGCAGGCGGUGGAGAAAGUCGGGUGUGAAAGCCUCAGGCUCAACCUGAGGGGGAGGCCCGAUACUUCUCCACUUGAGGAAGGGAGAGGGAGGUGGAAUUCCCGGUGUAGCGGUGAAAUGCGCAGAUAUCGGGAGGAACACCAGUGGCGAAGGCGGCCUCCUAUCCCUUUCCUGACGCUCAGGUACGAAAGCUAGGGGAGCGAACCGG